GAUGAACGCUGGCGGCGUGCUUAACACAUGCAAGUCGAACGAUGAAGCCCAGCUUGCUGGGUGGAUUAGUGGCGAACGGGUGAGUAACACGUGAGUAACCUGCCCUUGACUCUGGGAUAAGCCUGGGAAACUGGGUCUAAUACUGGAUAUGACUUCUCAUCGCAUGGUGGGGGGUGGAAAGAUUUAUUGGUCUUGGAUGGACUCGCGGCCUAUCAGCUUGUUGGUGAGGUAAUGGCUCACCAAGGCGACGACGGGUAGCCGGCCUGAGAGGGUGACCGGCCACACUGGGACUGAGACACGGCCCAGACUCCUACGGGAGGCAGCAGUGGGGAAUAUUGCACAAUGGGCGCAAGCCUGAUGCAGCGACGCCGCGUGAGGGAUGACGGCCUUCGGGUUGUAAACCUCUUUCAGUAGGGAAGAAGCGAGAGUGACGGUACCUGCGGAAGAAGCGCCGGCUAACUACGUG
rnacentral:rRNA from 1 species